rnacentral:tRNA from 1 species
GGAGAGGUGCGAGAGCGGUCGAAUCGGGCGGUCUCGAAAACCGUUGUCUGCCUGUCGGCGGACCGUGGGUUCGAAUCCCACCCUCUCCG